rnacentral:lncRNA from 1 species
UCUCAAGAGUUUUGUUUCUCCAGUGGAAGUAACAGGCUGACUUUGUAGGGACACGCAGCCGUCCAUAUAUGCGUAUAGCAUUCAGAGGUUCUUCCUGUAAGGACCGAUUUGGAAGACUCGUUAAGAAAACAGUGUUCUUUAAGCAAACAUUGGCAAUGGAUUUAAAUGCUCAGAUUUUGAAGAAAUCAACGACUGCAGGUGAAAUGGCUUUGCUAACUUUAAAAUAUAUUAUUAUUCAACAUUGAAACAGGAAAUCCCACAUGAGCACAUUAUAACAUAAUUUAUUUGUGAUAUGGUUGAUAGUGAGGUGUAGUGAUUCAGAACAGCAUUUUCUAUUCAGUUAUCAGAUGAUACCGGAAAACAUUAGCGAGGGAAAGAAUCUGAAAGGAGUCCAGUAAAUGCCUAAGGCAGAUAAAUAGAGCUACAAGAUAAAUACGACCUUAAUUUUCUACGUACUACCCCCAGAAUGCUGGAGGCAUCCUCUGUUGUUUUGUGCCCCUUACCAAAUUCUGGCCGUGUCUGCUUCAACUGAGAGCAGCAAGACCAACCCCUUCUCUUCCUCCGCGUACUCAAUGUAAAGAUGACAAGGACCUUUGUGAUGAUCCACUUCCAUUUAAUACAUGGUGGAGCCUCAUGGAUGGAGGGAAGAAGAGGAUCAAGACCUGAGAAGGAGAAGAGGAGAAUCCCACAGAAAGAAGAAGGAGCAGCCAGCAGGAGGUAGGGGAACCACAAAGC